GACAGCAGUCGCCACGGUAAUACAGAGGGUGCGAGCGUUAAUCGGAUUUACUGGGCGUAAAGCGUGCGUAGGCGGCUUCUUAAGUCGGAUGUGAAAUCCCUGAGCUUAACUUAGGAAUUGCAUUCGAUACUGGGAAGCUAGAGUAUGGGAGAGGAUGGUAGAAUUCCAGGUGUAGCGGUGAAAUGCGUAGAGAUCUGGAGGAAUACCGAUGGCGAAGGCAGCCAUCUGGCCUAAUACUGACGCUGAGGUACGAAAGCAUGGGGAGCAAACAGGAUUAGAUACCCCAGUAGUCCCUGUCUCUUAUAC
rnacentral:rRNA from 1 species